rnacentral:rRNA from 1 species
GGACUACACGGGUUUCUAAUCCCGUUUGCUCCCCUAGCCUUCGUGCCUCAGCGUCAGGAGUUGCCCAGAGAUCCGCUUUCGCAACUGGUCUUCCUCACGAUAUCUACGCAUUUCACUGCUACACCGUGAAUUCCGAUCUCCUCUACAAUCCUCGAGCAUGGUAGUAUCGAGUGCAGUUUCGGAGUUGAGCUCCGAGAUUUCACAUUCGACUUACCACACCGCCUACGCACCCUUUACGCCCAAUGAAUCCGAACAACGCUUGAGACCUCUGUAUUACCGCGGCUGCUGGCAC